GCCAGGGGUGCCCAGGGCUGUGCUGCAGAGCAGGCUCCUGCAGCCCAGGGCGCUGAGCUGGGGCAGGGACUCUGCUGCCUGCCAGGGACAGCUCUCAGCCGGCCCGGGGAGCUGCUGCCAGCGCUGGGGAGAAGCUCUGGGGGGAAGGAGCCACCCUGAGCAGGGCAGGUGCUGCUGCUGAGAGGGGCUGGGUGGGGCAGGGCUGCUCCCAGCUCCAGACCAGCCUGGACACAGCUCCGGAGGACACUUCCCAAAGAAGGCAAGAGGAGAAUGAGAGAGGCAGACCCGGAGGUGUAAUCAGACACUCACGGAACGUUCUGAGUUGAAAGGGACACACAGGAUCAUCCAGGUCCCCAUGUGCAGCCCCAGAAAAUGUCCAACAGCAGCUCCAUCAGCCACUUCCUCCUGCUGGCAUUGGCAGACAGGCGGCAGCUGCAGCUGCUGCACUUCUGCCUCUUGCUGGGCAUCUCCCUGGCUGCCCUCC